UGCCAGCAGCCGCGGUAAUACGGAGGGUGCAAGCGUUAAUCGGAAUUACUGGGCGUAAAGCGCGCGUAGGCGGAUUGUUAAGUCUCAUGUGAAAGCCCUGGGCUCAACCUGGGAACUGCAUGGGAUACUGGCAAUCUAGAAUACAGUAGAGGGUAGUGGAAUUUCAGGUGUAGCGGUGAAAUGCGUAGAGAUCUGAAGGAACAUCAGUGGCGAAGGCGACUACCUGGACUGAUAUUGACACUGAGGUACGAAAGCGUGGGUAGCAAACAGGAUUAGAUA
rnacentral:rRNA from 1 species